GAUGAAGAACGUAGCGAAAUGCGAUAAGUAAUGUGAAUUGCAGAAUUCAGUGAAUCAUCGAAUCUUUGAACGCACAUUGCGCCCCCUGGUAUUCCGGGGGGCAUGCCUGUUCGAGCGUCAUUUCACCACUCAAGCCUCGCUUGGUAUUGGGCAACGCGGUCCGCCGCGUGCCUCAAAUCGACCGGCUGGGUCUUCUGUCCCCUAAGCGUUGUGGAAACUAUUCGCUAAAGGGUGUUCGGGAGGCUACGCCGUAAAACAACCCCAUUUCUAAGGUUGACCUCGGAUCAGGUAGGGAUACCUGCUGAACUUAAGCAUAUCAAUAAGCGGAGGA
rnacentral:misc_RNA from 1 species